CUUUUUAAAGGUUUAUAAUUAGGUGAAGUCCCAGAUGAGUCUCUCCUCAAAGAUAAUUAAUUGCAAUACGCAAAAGAGAUGACCUUCUGAGAAAGUCAGAAGGUGAUUUCCUGCAGGCAAGGAAAGGCAUCAAAGCAAAAGUGGCUGAGGUGGAGCACCUUGACAGUGUGGUCAAGAAACUGAAAGCCAGUAUCCAGGACACACAGAAAGAAAGGAAUCAGACAGAAACAGAAACCACCACACUGAGAACUGAGAUUCAGCAGCUAAAUCGGGAACUGCAGGGUGUGCAUAAGCAGUGCAGAAAGACAGCCCAAGAACUUGCCAGUCAAGAUGAAAAACUUCUUCUAAUGGAAUCCAGCUUGAAAGGAACUCAAGAACAGCU
rnacentral:lncRNA from 1 species